GCUGGAGAGAUGGCUCGUAACCGGAGCACUGGCUGCACUUCCAAAGGACCGGGGUUCAAUUCCCAGCCCCACAUGGCAGCUUACAAUUGUAACUCAAGUUCGUUACUUCACACAGACAGUCACACUGUCCAAAUACCAACACACAUAAAAAUUAAAUGAAUAAGUAAAUUAAAGAAACCAAUAUCAGGAUCCUCAAAUCCCUUAAAACCCUUUUUGAGACUCUGAACACAAGUCUUUAUCCUCUCUCUUUAGACCCAAAAGUUCAGACCCUUUAACCAGAGGUUAAACUAGAGGUUCAGGCUCCAUACCUCCUCCCCCUUCAUCAAAUCGAUAAAUCCACACCCUAGCCCUCCUUUCCUCAGACCAGGAAUCCAAACCCAGAUGUCUUUUCUUAGACCCUAAGCAUUCACACUCCGACUCUCCUGCUCUUGAUUUAUAGGCAUCCCGGCCAGCCCCACGUCUCUGUUGUAUAUAGGCACCCAGCCCACCUCUCUAGCACUCAGGUGCCCAGAAACUCCUUUCUCUUUCAAACACUAAAUUACACACAUUCAAAGUCUGACUGCUCACCUAGAGAGGAUCAGAAGAGGUACAGUAAAAGCUUGGGUUCCCAGAAAGUAGAGAAAAUUCUGGGCAGUCUGAGGGAGGCUCUCAAUGGCCUCAGGGAUCUGGGCCCAAAUGGACAGCUUCCCGCGGAACGGGCCACACAGUUUCGAAGGAAGAUACUGUAAAGCACGGGAACUGCAGAGAUCGCCAGACCCACAAGGAGAACCAGGGGGAAAAAGAAGUUUGCCGUGGAUGCUCGGAAGGUGCGGGAAGGCCGCCGCAGGCCUUGCAUCCUUCUGCCUCCAUGUUUCCCCCACACGUGAUCUGACUCCACAGAGAGACCAGAAGGAACACCAGCGAGGCCAGACGCAAAAACACAGUCCUGCAAGAUGAAGGGACUCACACUGAGGUAGUGCCUCCUGGAUGCACACUCGUGAUCUCCUCCUCCACUUUAUAUUUUUCCUACCCGCCCCCCACUUUUCACAGAGGAAGGAACUGAGUCUCAGAGUCAGAAUUUAAGACCAGGACUCCCUGGAUUUCAUAUGCAUGGGACUUCACUGUCUCAUUCAUAUGUGUGUGUGUGUGUGUAUGUGUGUAAAUAAAUGACAAAUAUGCCAUU
rnacentral:lncRNA from 1 species